GACGAACGCUGGCGGCGUGCCUAAUACAUGCAAGUAGAACGCACAGUUUAUACCGUAGCUUGCUACACCAUAGACUGUGAGUUGCGAACGGGUGAGUAACGCGUAGGUAACCUGCCUGGUAGCGGGGGAUAACUAUUGGAAACGAUAGCUAAUACCGCAUAAUAUUAAUUAUUGCAUGAUAAUUAAUUGAAAGGUGCAAUUGCACCACUACCAGAUGGACCUGCGCUGUAUUAGCUAGUAGGUGAGGUAACGGCUCACCUAGGCGACGAUACAUAGCCGACCUGAGAGGGUGAUCGGCCACACUGGGACUGAGACACGGCCCAGACUCCUACGGGAGGCAGCAGUAGGGAAUCUUCGGCAAUAGACGAAAGUCUGACCGAGCAACGCCGCGUGAGUGAAGAAGGUUUUCGGAUCGUAAAGCUCUGUUGUAAGAGAAGAACGGGUGUGAGAGUGGAAAGUUCACACUGUGACGGUAUCUUACCAGAAAGGGACGGCUAACUACGUG
rnacentral:rRNA from 1 species